UAUAUGCCUUUAAUACAUAAGUAUGCAAGGGAAACGCUUUAGUGCUUAAGGAUGGGUCUGUAUGGUAUCAGCUUGUUGGUGAGGUAAUGGCUCACCAAGGCUAUGACGCCUAACUGGUUUGAGAGGAUGAUCAGUCACACUGGAACUGAGACACGGUCCAGACUCCUACGGGAGGCAGCAGUGGGGAAUAUUGCACAAUGGACGAAAGUCUGAUGCAGCAACGCCGCGUGGAGGAUGACACAUUUCGGUGCGUAAACUCCUUUUAUAUAGGAAGAUAAUGACGGUACUAUAUGAAUAAGCACCGGCUAACUCCGUGCCA
rnacentral:rRNA from 1 species